rnacentral:lncRNA from 1 species
GGUCUUUCCUCAUUAACAAGACAACCAUGGACAGCCACACCGUCCUGAAGGACAGGAAAAAGAAAGAGACAAAUGAGGCUACACUUAAGUCAGAGAAAGGUCUGGUUUCAGGGAAGAACAUCACAAGUUCACCCUCUGCUGGCCACUCAAACUCCACAGCAGUAAAACUGAAGUGGUGAUGCAGCUCCACAACCUGCAGUAUGGUCAGAAGAAGAGGUCCCACAGCACUUUUCUUACAAUAC